UACGAAGGGGGCGAGCGUUGUUCGGAUUUACUGGGCGUAAAGGGCGCGCAGGCGGCGCAUUUUGUCAGGCGUGAAAGCCCCGGGCUUAACCUGGGAACUGCGUUUGAUACGGAUGGGCUAGAGUUCGGGAGAGGAGAGUGGAAUUCCCAGUGUAGAGGUGAAAUUCGUAGAUAUUGGGAAGAACACCGAUGGCGAAGGCAGCCCCCUGGGCUGAGAUUGACGCUCAGGCGCGAAAGCGUGGGGAGCAAACAGG
rnacentral:rRNA from 1 species